rnacentral:rRNA from 1 species
GACGAACGCUGGCGGCGUGCUUAACACAUGCAAGUCGAACGGGUCUGCCCUGUUUUUUGCGGGGUGGGUCAGUGGCGAACGGGUGAGUAACACGUGAGUAACCUGCCCCUCACUUCUGGAUAACCGCUUGAAAGGGUGGCUAAUACGGGGUGUUCUGGCUGUGCCGCAUGGUGUGGCUGGGAAAGAUUCACUUUUGUGGUGUUUUGGUGGGGGAUGGGCUCGCGGCCUAUCAGCUUGUUGGGGGGGUGAUGGCCUGCCAAGGCUUUGACGGGUAGCCGGCCUGAGAGGGUGGGCGGUCACACUGGGACUGAGAUACGGCCCAGACUCCUGCGGGAGGCAGCAGUGGGGGGUAUUGCACAAUGGGCGGAAGCCUGAUGCAGCGACGUCGCGUGAGGGAUGGAGGCCUUCGGGUUGUGAACCUCUUUCGCCGGUGAAGAAGGUCCUGCUCUUUGUGGUGGGGUUGACGGUAGCCGGGUUAUGAAGCGCCGGCUAGCUACGUG